AGACCAUGUUGUGUGCAUCAUUUCAAAAGAUCUUUGUACCUAUCCCAAGCUUCAUAUAGUGUCUCACCAUCUUGUUGAGUGAAAGAGGCUAUAUCAUGUCAAAGUUU